CAGUAGCCGCGGGAAUACGUAGGGUGCGAGCGUUAAUCGGAAUUACUGGGCGUAAAGCGUGCGCAGGCGGUUUUGUAAGACAGGCGUGAAAUCCCCGGGCUCAACCUGGGAAUGGCGCUUGUGACUGCAAAGCUAGAGUGCGGCAGAGGGGGAUGGAAUUCCGCGUGUAGCAGUGAAAUGCGUAGAUAUGCGGAGGAACACCGAUGGCGAAGGCAAUCCCCUGGGCCUGCACUGACGCUCAUGCACGAAAGCGUGGGGAGCAAACAGGAUUAGAUACCCCCGUAGUCCCUGUCUCUUAUAC
rnacentral:rRNA from 1 species